UGGGGAAUAUUGGACAAUGGGCGAAAGCCUGAUCCAGCCAUGCCGCGUGUGUGAAGAAGGUCUUCGGAUUGUAAAGCACUUUAAGUUGGGAGGAAGGGCAUUAACCUAAUACGUUAGUGUUUUGACGUUACCGACAGAAUAAGCACCGGCUAACUCUGUGCCAGCAGCCGCGGUAAUACAGAGGGUGCAAGCGUUAAUCGGAAUUACUGGGCGUAAAGCGCGCGUAGGUGGUUUGUUAAGUUGGAUGUGAAAUCCCCGGGCUCAACCUGGGAACUGCAUUCAAAACUGACUGACUAGAGUAUGGUAGAGGGUGGUGGAAUUUCCUGUGUAGCGGUGAAAUGCGUAGAUAUAGGAGGAACACCAGUGGCGAAGGCGACCACCUGGACUAAUACUGACACUGAGGUGCGAAAGCGUGGGGAGCAAACA
rnacentral:rRNA from 1 species